AGUUUGAUCCUGGCUCAGGAUGAACGCUAGCUACAGGCUUAACACAUGCAAGUCGAGGGGCAGCGUUGGAGUAGCAAUACUUCAGAUGGCGACCGGCGCACGGGUGAGUAACACGUAUCCAACCUGCCGCUUACUCGGGGAUAGCCUUUCGAAAGAAAGAUUAAUACCCGAUGGUAUAAAGAGUUCGCAUGUUCUCUUUAUUAAAGAAUUUCGGUAAGCGAUGGGGAUGCGUUCCAUUAGAUAGUUGGCGGGGUAACGGCCCACCAAGUCUACGAUGGAUAGGGGUUCUGAGAGGAAGGUCCCCCACAUUGGAACUGAGACACGGUCCAAAUCCUACGGGAGGCAGCAGUGAGGAAUAUUGGUCAAUGGACGAGAGUCUGAACCAGCCAAGUAGCGUGAAGGAUGACUGCCCUAUGGGUUGUAAACUUCUUUUAUAAGGGAAUAAAGUGAGGGACGUGUCCCUUUUUGUAUGUACCUUAUGAAUAAGGAUCGGCUAACUCCGUGCCAGCAGCCGCGGUAAUACGGAGGAUCCAAGCGUUAUCCGGAUUUAUUGGGUUUAAAGGGAGCGUAGGUUGACAUAUAAGUCAGCUGUGAAAGUUUACGGCUCAACCGUGAAAUUGCAGUUGAUACUGUAUGUCUUGAGUGUACAAGAGGUGGGCGGAAUUCGUGGUGUAGCGGUGAAAUGCUUAGAUAUCACGAAGAACUCCAAUUGCGAAGGCAGCUCACUGGGGUACAACUGACACUGAGGCUCGAAAGUGUGGGUAUCAAACAGGAUUAGAUACCCUGGUAGUCCACACAGUAAACGAUGAAUACUCGCUGUUUGCGAUAUACAGUAAGCGGCCAAGCGAAAGCAUUAAGUAUUCCACCUGGGGAGUACGCCGGCAACGGUGAAACUCAAAGGAAUUGACGGGGGCCCGCACAAGCGGAGGAACAUGUGGUUUAAUUCGAUGAUACGCGAGGAACCUUACCCGGGCUUGAAUUGCAGAGGAAUAUAGUUGAAAGAUUAUAGCCGCAAGGUCUCUGUGAAGGUGCUGCAUGGUUGUCGUCAGCUCGUGCCGUGAGGUGUCGGCUUAAGUGCCAUAACGAGCGCAACCCUUAUCAUUAGUUACUAACAGGUCAUGCUGAGGACUCUAGUGAGACUGCCGUCGUAAGAUGUGAGGAAGGUGGA
rnacentral:rRNA from 1 species